GAUACGGCCAUAUCUACUGAAAACCACCGGAACCUAUCAGAACUCCGAAGUUGAACCAGUAUGAGCUUAAACAGUACUAAGAAGGGAGA
rnacentral:rRNA from 1 species